rnacentral:rRNA from 1 species
UAGCUAGUUGGUGAGGUAAAGGCUCACCAAGGCGACGAUCUGUAGCGGGUCUGAGAGGAUGAUCCGCCACACUGGAACUGAGACACGGUCCAGACUCCUACGGGAGGCAGCAGUGGGGAAUUUUGAACAAUGGGGGCAACCCUGAUCCAGCCAUGCCGCGUGAGUGAAGAAGGCCUUCGGGUUGUAAAGCUCUUUCGGCCGGGAAGAAUCGCAUGGGCCAAUACCCUGUGCGGAUGACGGUACCGGCAUAAGAAGCACCGGCUAACUACGUGCCAGCAGCCGCGGUAAUACGUAGGGUGCGAGCGUUAAUCGGAGUUACUGGGCGUAAAGCGUGCGCAGGCGGUUUUGUAAGACAGGCGUGAAAUCCCCGGGCUCAACCUGGGAACUGCGUUUGUGACUGCAAGGCUAGAGUACGGCAGAGGGGGGUGGAAUUCCACGUGUAGCAGUGAAAUGCGUAGAGAUGUGGAGGAACACCAAUGGCGAAGGCAGCCCCCUGGGUCGAUACUGACGCUCAUGCACGAAAGCGUGGGUAGCAAACAGGAUUAGAUACCCUGGUAGUCCACGCCCUAAACGAUGUCAACUAGGUGUUGGGUGGGUAAAAUCAUUUAGUACCGGAGCUAACGCGUGAAGUUGACCGCCUGGGGAGUACGGCCGCAAGGUUAAAACUCAAAGGAAUUGACGGGGACCCGCACAAGCGGUGGAUGAUGUGGAUUAAUUCGAUGCAACGCGAAAAACCUUACCUACCCUUGACAUGUCCAGAAGCCUGAAGAGAUUUGGGUGUGCCCGAAAGGGAACUGGAACACAGGUGCUGCAUGGCUGUCGUCAGCUCGUGUCGUGAGAUGUUGGGUUAAGUCCCGCAACGAGCGCAACCCUUGUCGUUAAUUGCCAUCAUUCAGUUGGGCACUUUAACGAGACUGCCGGUGACAAACCGGAGGAAGGUGGGGAUGACGUCAAGUCCUCAUGGCCCUUAUGGGUAGGGCUUCACACGUCAUACAAUGGUCGGUACAAAGGGUUGCCAAGCCGCGAGGUGGAGCCAAUCCCAGAAAGCCGAUCGUAGUCCGGAUCGUAGGCUGCAACUCGCCUGCGCGAAGUCGGAAUCGCUAGUAAUCGUGGAUCAGCAUGUCACGGUGAAUACGUUCCCGGGUCUUGUACACACCGCCCGUCACACCAUGGGAGCGGGUUCCGCCAGAAGUAGGUAGCCUAACCGCAAGGGGGGCGCUUACCACGGCGGGGUUCGUGACUGGGGUGAAGUCGUAACAAGGUAGCCGUAGGGGAACCUGCGGCUG